rnacentral:tRNA from 1 species
GAGGGUAUAGCUUAGGGGUAGAGUAUGUGCUUAGCAUGUGCAAAGUCCUGGGUUCAGUCUCCAGUAUCUCCA